rnacentral:rRNA from 1 species
CCAGAGAACUUAGCAGAGAUGCUUUGGUGCCUUCGGGAACUCUGAGACAGGUGCUGCAUGGCUGUCGUCAGCUCGUGUUGUGAAAUGUUGGGUUAAGUCCCGCAACGAGCGCAACCCUUAUCCUUUGUUGCCAGCGGCUCGGCCGGGAACUCAAAGGAGACUGCCGGUGAUAAACCGGAGGAAGGUGGGGAUGACGUCAAGUCAUCAUGGCCCUUACGGCCAGGGCUACACACGUGCUACAAUGGCGCAUACAAAGAGAAGCGACCUCGCGAGAGCAAGCGGACCUCAUAAAGUGCGUCGUAGUCCGGAUUGGAGUCUGCAACUCGACUCCAUGAAGUCGGAAUCGCUAGUAAUCGUAGAUCAGAAUGCUACGGUGAAUACGUUCCCGGGCCUUGUACACACCGCCCGUCACACCAUGGGAGUGGGUUGCAAAAGAAGUAGGUAGCUUAACCUUCGGGAGGGCGCUUACCACUUUGUGAUUCAUGACUGGGGUGAAGUCGUAACAAGGUAAGCGUAGCGAG